rnacentral:miRNA from 2 species
UAAGUGCUGAUUGUUGUUGUGU